GAAAAGAGAGUGCAAGAGAACGUGAAAUCGAUAUAAUGGAAGCGAAUGAAGUCGACGUAUCUAGUGCGUAUUAAGUUUUUGCGCAUUUUAAACUGUUUUAUAACGAUUGACCGGUAAGGCCUCAACGUUUUAAGCAUUUUAAAUGUGUAACAGCGUUUUUGCGUACAGAGUGCGGUAAGUCGAUUGACGUUGUCGGUGGAAGCAAAUUUAUAGAGGGCGGUUUUUUUUAAAACCAAAUCCUUGGUUUGUGGAUGCCUGAUUAGCGUUGUUCGGUUUAAAGUUUUAUAAACGCUGGCCUAGUCGGUUUGAAUUGUUGGCUUUUGCAAGUUAUGCGUUUGAGCGCGUGCGUUCAAUGCAUUAGUUUGUAAAAGUUUAAUAAUUUUAAAUCACAUGCGUUUAACUUGCCGUAUAGUCGGUCACUCAUUCGACCCGUCUUGAAACACGGACCAAGGAGUUUACGGUACACGCGAGAUAUUGGGUUAAAAAGCCCAAAAUCAUAAUGAAAGUGAAACAUUUUAAUGUUUAAACAACACGAUCAAUAAUUGAAAAUUUUUUUUAAUUAUUGCGCAGUGUUGCCCCAUAUUAUGAAUUUGUUCUGGUGUGGAGGUUGAGCGUGUGCGGUGAGACCCGAAAGAUGGUGAACUAUGCCUGAACAGGAUGAAGCCAGAGGAAACUCUGGUGGAAGUCCGAAGCGGUUCUGACGUGCAAAUCGAUCGUCUGAUUUUGGUAUAGGGGCGAAAGACUAAUCGAACCAUCUA
rnacentral:rRNA from 1 species